UACAGAGGUCUCAAGCGUUAUUCGGAUUCACUGGGCGUAAAGGGUGCGCAGGCGGCCGUGUGUGUGAGGCGUGAAAGCCCGGGGCUUAACCCCGGAAUUGCACCUCAAACUACAUGGCUAGAGCAUUGGAGAGGGUAGCAGAAUUCAUGGUGUAGCAGUGAAAUGCGUAGAUAUCAUGAGGAAUACCAGAGGCGAAGGCAGCAGACUGGGGCAUUCCUGACACUGAAACAUGAAAGCGUGGGUAGCGAAUGGG
rnacentral:rRNA from 1 species